rnacentral:rRNA from 1 species
AGAGUUUGAUCCUGGCUCAGGAUGAACGCUGGCGGCGUGCCUAACACAUGCAAGUCGAACGGAAUUUACAUGAAGCCUAGCGAUUGUAAAUUUAGUGGCGGACGGGUGAGUAACGCGUGGGUAACCUGCCUUGUACUGGGGGACAACAGUUGGAAACGACUGCUAAUACCGCAUAAGCGCACAGCUUCGCAUGAAGCAGUGUGAAAAACUCCGGUGGUACAAGAUGGACCCGCGUCUGAUUAGCUGGUUGGUGAGGUAACGGCCCACCAAGGCGACGAUCAGUAGCCGGCCUGAGAGGGUGAACGGCCACAUUGGGACUGAGACACGGCCCAAACUCCUACGGGAGGCAGCAGUGGGGAAUAUUGCACAAUGGGGGAAACCCUGAUGCAGCAACGCCGCGUGAGUGAAGAAGUAUUUCGGUAUGUAAAGCUCUAUCAGCAGGGAAGAAAAUGACGGUACCUGACUAAGAAGCCCCGGCUAACUACGUGCCAGCAGCCGCGGUAAUACGUAGGGGGCAAGCGUUAUCCGGAUUUACUGGGUGUAAAGGGAGCGUAGACGGUUUUGCAAGUCUGAAGUGAAAGCCCGGGGCUUAACCCCGGGACUGCUUUGGAAACUGUAGGACUAGAGUGCAGGAGAGGUAAGUGGAAUUCCUAGUGUAGCGGUGAAAUGCGUAGAUAUUAGGAGGAACACCAGUGGCGAAGGCGGCUUACUGGACGGUAACUGACGUUGAGGCUCGAAAGCGUGGGGAGCAAACAGGAUUAGAUACCCUGGUAGUCCACGCCGUAAACG